CCUACGGGGGGCUGCAGUGAGGAAUAUUGGUCAAUGGGCGAGAGCCUGAACCAGCCAAGUAGCGUGAAGGAUGAAGGCUCUAUGGGUCGUAAACUUCUUUUAUAUGGGAAUAAAGUUUUCCACGUGUGGAAUUUUGUAUGUACCAUAUGAAUAAGGAUCGGCUAACUCCGUGCCAGCAGCCGCGGUAAUACGGAGGAUCCGAGCGUUAUCCGGAUUUAUUGGGUUUAAAGGGAGCGUAGGUGGAUUGUUAAGUCAGUUGUGAAAGUUUGCGGCUCAACCGUAAAAUUGCAGUUGAAACUGGCAGUCUUGAGUACAGUAGAGGUGGGCGGAAUUCGUGGUGUAGCGGUGAAAUGCUUAGAUAUCACGAAGAACUCCGAUUGCGAAGGCAGCUCACUAGACUGUUACUGACACUGAUGCUCGAAAGUGUGGGUAUCAAACAGGAUUAGAUACCCGAGUAGUC
rnacentral:rRNA from 1 species